UACGGGGGGGGCAAGCGUUGUUCGGAAUUACUGGGCGUAAAGGGCGCGUAGGCGGCCAGACCAAGUCGAGUGUGAAAUUGCAGGGCUUAACUUUGCAGGGUCGCUCGAUACUGGUCGGCUAGAGUGUGGAAGAGGGUGGCUGGAAUUCCCGGUGUAGCGGUGGAAAUGACGUAGAUAUCGGGAGGAACACCAGUGGCGAAGGCGGGCACCUGGGCCGACGACUGACGCUGAGGCGCGAAAGCU
rnacentral:rRNA from 1 species